AGUGAACGCUGGCGGUAGGCCUAACACAUGCAAGUCGAACGGCAGCACAGUAAGAGCUUGCUCUUACGGGUGGCGAGUGGCGGACGGGUGAGGAAUACAUCGGAAUCUACUUUUUCGUGGGGGAUAACGUCGGGAAACUUACGCUAAUACCGCAUACGACCUACGGGUGAAAGCAGGGGAUCUUCGGACCUUGCGCGAUUGAAUGAGCCGAUGUCGGAUUAGCUAGUUGGCGGGGUAAAGGCCCACCAAGGCGACGAUCCGUAGCUGGUCUGAGAGGAUGAUCAGCCACACUGGAACUGAGACACGGUACAGACUCCUACGGGAGGCAGCAGUGGGGAAUAUUGGGCAAUGGGGGCAAGCCUGAUCCAGCCAUACCGCGUGGGUGAAGAAGGCCUUCGGGUUGUAAAGCCCUUUUGUUGGGAAAGAAAAGCAGCAGGUUAAUACCCCGCUGUUCUGACGGUACCCAAAGAAUAAGCACCGGCUAACUUCGUG
rnacentral:rRNA from 1 species